AGAGGGCUCUGCAGUAAUUACCUCAACAGGGACAAGAUUGGAAAUACAAAGAGGAAACUAAACAUUGUAAAAUAUAGAGGCUGUGCUUUUGAAUCAAGAAUAGGCAAUUAGCCUGUUGCGUUAUGUAAUAUCUCAUUCAUUAGUCAUUGAAUUACCUCUGGCUGCAUGUACUGUUUCCCUGAAGUUAAUUUUUAUUCCAUUAUGAAGGAAUAAAUCAAAUCCAGUGAAAGGAAAUCCGACCUCUUUGCUGUCUACAGGAGGAAGGCCUUGAACCAAGUCUUUUUGUGGUUUAAUAUUUUCAGUUUCAACUUAAUAAAGAGGAGCCUCAGGGAUGAGAAAAGAGGUCAGGUUUUGUCUUUUCCACUUGAAGUACAUAAAUAGAAUAGAAAGAAGUAAUGAUAUGUAGCCAAUUGUAAAGAACAUGAAAUCAACCCAGAAAAUAUGAAAUGUUGAUGGGGAUACACAAGCACCCAGCAUUCAUGGUACCACUGAGAAUAGAGUAAUUAAUUCACAAAGUUCUUGUGGAUGCCUGCGAACCUUCUAGCAGAGCCUCUGCUAGGCGGGAGGCUUGUACAAAGGUAAACAAUAUGCUAUUUUGUUCUCAGAGUUCACAGUCUGCUGGGAAGGCUGACGUGAGAAAACAAUUCAAUACAAAGCGCUAAGUGCUGUAGCAAAAGUUUGUUCGUUGAGCUGAGAGAACAAUGCGCAGGGUGAUCCACAAAGUGUGAGAGGCGAGAUGAAAUUCUUGCUGUGUUUGGAGGAUGAGGAGAAUUUUUCCACACAAAGAAGAUAAACGAAGCAUGUUCUGGAGAAAGGAGACAGCGUAUGUAAAGCCAGGUGAGUGGGACGUGAUUGCUCUUAUCUUAUCUACCUGAAGAAACUUAAUCUCAGAGGUGAUGCGACUGGACGAAGGUCCCACAGCAAACAGACAUUGAAACAGGCCUGCUGACCUGGGCGCACCAAGAGCACACACCCUUAGUUGUCUUGCACGGGACUCAUACUAAUUGUACUUUGUUGAAUGCACUUUAGCAACAAAACCUCCAUCAAUUGUUUAAAAAAAGUUUU
rnacentral:lncRNA from 1 species